rnacentral:rRNA from 1 species
GUCGAACGAAUGGUAGAGGGCUUGCUCUCUAUUCGUUAGUGGCGGACGGGUGCGUAACACGUGAGGAACAUGCCCACCGGCGGGGGAUAGCCGGCCCAAACGGGGNNUAAUACCGCGUACGACCUUUUGAGCGCAUGCUCGAAGGGGUGAAAGCAGCAAUGCACCGGUGGAGUGCCUCGCGGCCUAUCAGCUUGUUGGUGAGGUAACGGCUCACCAAGGCGACGACGGGUAGCUGGUCUGAGAGGAUGGCCAGCCACAUUGGGACUGAGACACGGCCCAGACUCCUACGGGAGGCAGCAGUGGGGAAUAUUGCGCAAUGGCCGAAACGGUGACGCAGCGACGCCGCGUGUGGGAUGAAGGUCCUCGGAUUGUAAACCACUGUCAGGAGGGACGAAUGCCGGGUAACCGUCUGACGGUACCUCCAGAGGAAGCACCGGCUAACUCCGUGCCAGCAGCCGCGGUAAUACGGAGGGUGCGAGCGUUGUCCGGAAUCACUGGGCGUAAAGGGCGCGUAGGCGCUUCGGUAAGUAGGGGGUGAAAUCCCACGGCUCAACCGUGGGCCUGCCUCCUAAACUGUCGGGCUUGAGCACGGUAGAGGCAGAUGGAAUUCCCGGUGUAGCGGUGGAAUGCGUAGAUAUCGGGAAGAACACCAGUGGCGAAGGCGGUCUGCUGGGCCGUUGCUGACGCUGAGGCGCGAUAGUGGGGGGAGCAAACAGGAUUAGAUACCCGUGUAGUCCAUGCCGUAAACAAUGUCUGCUAGAUGCUUGAUUUUUGAGUGUCAAAGCUAACGCGUUUAAGCAGAACGCCUGGG